AGUGGCGUGGCUACACCGUGGCCUCAAGGAGCCAGUCCUGCCCGGAUGGGGCUCGCCGGAUCGGUUUCGGUUUUCACGCACUCCCAUUUCUGUGGCCGCUGUGCAUUCGCGGAGUGUUCUCUGCUGCUUCUGGGUCCUGACAGUCUUGAAAAGAUCCAGCUGCUGAACUGCACUAUUUGCAAUAGAAAAGACAUGGAACCAACACAGAUGCCCAUCAAUGAUAGACUGGAUAAAUAAAAUGUGGUACAUAUACACCAUGGAAUACUAUGCAGCCAUAAAAAAGAGUGAGAUCAUGUCCUUUGCAGGGACAUGGAUGAAGCUCGAAGCCAAAUCCUCAGCAAACUAACACAGGAGCAGAAAACCAAACAUUGCAGAUUCUCACUCAUAAGUGGGAGUUGAACAGUGAGAACAUAUGGACACGGGGAGGGGGACAACACACACUGGGGCCUGCUGGGAGGUAGGGGGCAAGGGGAGGGAGAGAAUGAGGACAAAUAUCUAAUGCUUGUGGGGUUUCAAACCUAGAUAAUGGGUUGAUAGGUGCAGCAAACCAUCAUGGCACAUGUAACAAACCUGCAUGUUCUGCACAUGUAUCCUGGAACUUAAAGUAAAAUUAAAUUAAAUUUUAAAAAAAGAAA
ensembl:lncRNA novel transcript